AGAGUUUGAUCCUGGCUCAGAUUGAACGCUGGCGGCGUGCCUAACACAUGCAAGUCGAGCGGUAACAGGUGUAGCAAUACAUGCUGACGAGCGGCGAACGGGUGAGUAAUGCUUUGGAAUCUUCCCAGUAGUGGGGAAUAACCAGUCGAAAGAUUGGCUAAUACCGCAUACGUCUGUAAAGGGAAAGCGGGGGCUCGUAAGACCUCGCGCUAUUGGAUGAGCCAAAGUCGGAUUAGCUAGUUGGUGGGGUAAUGGCCUACCAAGGCGACAAUCCGUAGCUGGUCUGAGAGGACGACCAGCCACACCGGAACUGAGACACGGUCCGGACUCCUACGGGAGGCAGCAGUGGGGAAUAUUGGACAAUGGGGGAAACCCUGAUCCAGCGACGCCGCGUGUGUGAAGAAGGCCUGCGGGUUGUAAAGCACUUUUAGUGGGGACAAAAAGCUACGGAUUAAUACUCUGUGGUCUUGAUUUAACCCAAAGAAAAAGCACCGGCUAACUCUGUGCCAGCAGCCGCGGUAAUACAGAGGGUGCGAGCGUUAAUCGGAAUUACUGGGCGUAAAGCGCGCGUAGACGGUUUUGUAAGUCAGAUGUGAAAUCCCUGGGCUCAACCUGGGAACUGCAUUUGAUACUGCAUGGCUAGAGUAUCGAAGAGGGAAGUGGAAUUUCCGGUGUAGCGGUGAAAUGCGUAGAUAUCGGAAGGAACACCAGUGGCGAAAGCGACUUCCUGGUCGAAUACUGACGUUCAUGUGCGAAAGCGUGGGGAGCAAACAGGAUUAGAUACCCUAGUAGUCC
rnacentral:rRNA from 1 species